CCCAGACUCCUACGGGAGGCAGCAGUGAGGAAUAUUGGUCAAUGGGCUUACGCCUGAACCAGCCAAGUCGCGUGAGGGAAGACUGCCCUAUGGGUUGUAAACCUCUUUUGUCAGGGAGCAACGCCGGCUACGUGUAGCCGGACUGAGAGUACCUGAAGAAAAAGCAUCGGCUAACUACGUGCCAGCAGCCGCGGUAAUACGUAGGGGGCAAGCGUUAUCCGGAUUUACUGGGUGUAAAGGGGGCGCAGACGGCGAUGCAAGCCAGGAGUGAAAGCCCGGGGCCCAACCCCGGGACUGCAUUUGAAACUGUCAGGCUGGAGUGCAGGAGAGGUAAGUGGAAUUCCUAGUGUAGCGGUGAAAUGCGUAGAUAUUAGGAGGAACACCAGUGGCGAAGGCGGCUUGCUGGACUGUAACUGACGUUGAGGCUCGAAAGCGUGGGGAGCAAACAGGAUUAGAUACCCUCGUA
rnacentral:rRNA from 1 species